GGCUCCUGCUACCUUCUGCGGGCGGAACGUGGGUGUCCCGGGAAGGGACGGACCCCAUCUCUACUAUGCCGCAAGCGCGUUGUGUCAACAGGCUGGCUGUGGACGGCCCGAUGAGCGUUACUUGAUUUUGUACUUUCGGCCACCUCCAAUUUUCUCAGAACGCAACAUAAGAAAAAAAAACUAACAGCAGUGUGUGCAGGAGAGCUUCGAAAAUAUGGGUGCUGAUGUUUGGUCACUGCUAUGGGGGAGGUCGCAGAGCUGAGAGUUGUCGGAGGACGUUUUCUGUCCUGUCUAGCUGUUCAACCCAGGGUCCAGACUUUUCAAGGGCUACUCUAUGGUAGUCCGAACUACUCACUGCUGACACUUGGCACCUAGUCUUCAUUCUGGGACCCCAGAGACAUUCUUCCCUGCUGUGACUAUGCUUGGGGAGGUGUGUCCACUGCCCGGCAUCUCAGCUUCACAAGAGGCCCCACAGGGGUCUCUCACUUGAAGGACAAGGGCCAGGGAGACCAUGUCAGUGGGAAUUACCUGUGAGGUCACGUGCUGCUGCUUCUAGUUCACUCUCUGACCUCUCCUGAAGAAGCCAAGCUGCAGAGAUGAGCUACAAAGGACAUUCUCAGAGCUGUCAAAAAGAAUCAGAGGAGAAAGGCUUCAAAGAAGACUGAGACCAGACCAGCUGCUUGGAAAAAGCAGAAGCCAGCUGAGCUGUCUGGAAGAAGUUUAGAUCAACUGAGGCACCUGGAAAGGACAAUCCACCUCCAACCUGCUGAGCUUCAUGAGUGCUGUGUGUUCCAGGUACCCAGCUUUGUGAGCUGUGGCCCAUGCUGGGGUAGGCUUUGGUGAUACUGCUGGUUUUGAGUCAUUUCUACUCCUGUAAGUAAUUCUUCAUCCAUACUCUUGUGCGUAACCCCAAUAAAACUCAUUGGUCCACCAAACUAG
ensembl:lincRNA 2210406O10Rik RIKEN cDNA 2210406O10 gene